rnacentral:rRNA from 1 species
CACGUAGGGUGCGAGCGUUGUCCGGAAUUAUUGGGCGUAAAGAGCUCGUAGGCGGUGUGUCGCGUCGGCCGUGAAAACCUGCAGCUUAACUGUGGGCUUGCGGUCGAUACGGGCAUCACUGGAGUUCGGCAGGGGAGACUGGAAUUCCUGGUGUAGCGGUGAAAUGCGCAGAUAUCAGGAAGAACACCCGUGGCGAAGGCGGUUCUCUGGGACGGUACUGACGCUGGAGACGCGAAAGCGUGGGGAGCGAACAGGAUUAGAA